CAUGCCGUCCACCAUAAAUGCAGCAGUGGCUCAGCAGACAGCUGCUGGGUCAAUUCCCAGCCCUACUUUUAGCACGACAACUGAAGGUGCAGGUGGGGGCACAGGUGGGAUUUAUUCUGCCAUUAUAAGUCGCAACCAGCACAUUAUCAGUGUAAAGGAGAAGACCUACGAAGAACUUCACAAGAAGUGCCUGGAGAAAAACAUUCUCUAUGAAGAUCCUGAUUUCCCACCAAAUGAGUCCUCUCUCUUCUACAGCCAGAAAAGCCCCGUCAAGUUCGAAUGGAAAAGACCACGUGACAUCUGUGAGAAUCCACGGUUUAUUAUUGGUGGGGCCAACAGAACAGAUAUCUGCCAAGGAGAAUUAGGUAACUGCUGGUUUCUGGCUGCCAUUGCUUGCCUGACGCUGAAUAAAAAACUACUCUGUAGAGUCAUACCUCACGACCAGUCCUUUAUACAAAACUAUGCUGGCAUCUUUCACUUCCAGUUCUGGCGCUAUGGAGCCUGGGUGGACGUUGUCAUCGAUGACUGCUUACCCACGUACAACAACCAGCUGGUCUUUACCAAGUCCUCCCAGCGCAACGAGUUCUGGAGUGCCCUCCUGGAAAAGGCCUAUGCAAA